AACGAACGCUGGCGGCAGGCCUAACACAUGCAAGUCGAGCGCCCUUUCGGGGGAGCGGCGGACGGGUGAGUAACGCGUGGGAAUAUGCCCUUCUCUACGGAAUAGCCUCGGGAAACUGAGAGUAAUACCGUAUACGCCCUGUGGGGGAAAGAUUUAUCGGGGAAGGAUUAGCCCGCGUUGGAUUAGGUAGUUGGUGGGGUAAUGGCCUACCAAGCCGACGAUCCAUAGCUGGUUUGAGGGGAUGAUCAGGCACACUGGGACUGAGACACGGCCCAGAAUCCUACGGGAUGAAGCAGUGGGGGAUAUUAGACAAUGGGGGGAACCCUGAUCUAGCCAUGCUGCGUGAGUGGUGAAGGCCUUAGGGUUGUAAAGCUCUUUCAGCUGGGAAGAUAAUGACGGUACCAGCAGAAGAAGCCCCGGCUAACUCCGUG
rnacentral:rRNA from 1 species